rnacentral:rRNA from 1 species
CCUACGGGGGGCAGCAGUGGGGGACAUUGCGCAAUGGGGGAAACCCUGACGCAGCGACGCCGCGUGAAGGAUGAAGGUUUUCGGAUCGUAAACUUCUUUGACCGGGGACGAAGAAAUGACGGUACCCGGGGAACAAGCCACGGCUAACUACGUGCCAGCAGCCGCGGUAAUACGUAGGUGGCGAGCGUUGUCCGGAUUUACUGGGUGUAAAGGGCGUGUAGGCGGGGAGGCAAGUCAGAUGUGAAAUCCCGAGGCUCAACUUCGGAGCUGCAUCUGAAACUGUUUUUCUUGAGUACUGGAGAGGAAAGUGGAAUUCCUAGUGUAGCGGUGAAAUGCGUAGAGAUUAGGAGGAACACCAGUGGCGAAGGCGGCUUUCUGGACAGUAACUGACGCUGAGGCGCGAAAGCGUGGGGAGCAAACAGGAUUAGAUACCCUUGUAGUC